rnacentral:rRNA from 1 species
CAUGCUUAACACAUGCAAGUCGAACGGUAACAGUCCCUUCGGGGAGCUGACGAGUGGCGGACGGGUGAGUAAUGCGUAGGAAUCUACCGAGUAGCGGGGGAUAGCCUGGGGAAACUCAGGGUAAUACCGCAUAAGCCCUAAGGGGGAAAGCAGGGGACCGAAAGGCCUUGCACUAUUCGAUGAGCCUACGUCGGAUUAGCUUGUUGGUGGGGUAAAGGCCUACCAAGGCGACGAUCCGUAGCUGGUCUGAGAGGACGACCAGCCACACUGGGACUGAGACACGGCCCAGACUCCUACGGGAGGCAGCAGUGGGGAAUAUUGGACAAUGGGCGCAAGCCUGAUCCAGCAAUGCCGCGUGUGUGAAGAAGGCCUGCGGGUUGUAAAGCACUUUCAGUGGGGAGGAGAGGACCCGUGCUAAUACCACGGGUAAGAGACGUUACCCACAGAAGAAGCACCGGCUAACUCUGUGCCAGCAGCCGCGGCAAUACAGAGGGUGCAAGCGUUAAUCGGAAUUACUGGGCGUAAAGGGUGCGUAGGUGGUUGGACAAGUUAGGUGUGAAAGUCCCGGGCUUAACCUGGGGAUUGCGCCUAAUACGGUUUAGCUAGAGUACUGUAGAGGAAAGUGGAAUUUCCGGUGUAGCGGUGAAAUGCGUAGAUAUCGGAAGGAACACCAGUGGCGAAGGCGACUUUCUGGACAGAUACUGACACUGAGGCACGAAAGCAUGGGGAGCAAACAGGAUUAGAUACCCUGGUAGUCCAUGCCGUAAACGAUGAGGACUGGCUGUUGGGUGCCUUGAGCACUUAGUAGCGAAGCAAACGCGUUAAGUCCUCCGCCUGGGGAAGUACGGC